rnacentral:rRNA from 1 species
CUAACAAGGAUUCCCCUAGUAACGGCGAGUGAAGCGGGAAGAGCUCAAGCUUAAAAUCUCUGCGCAAGUUUUGCGUGGCGAAUUGUAGUCUAUAGAAGCGUGGUCAGCGCGGGCGCUUGGGGUAAGUUCCUUGGAAGAGGACAGCAUGGAGGGUGAUACUCCCGUUCAUACCUGAGUGGCUUGUGCGUACGACCCGUUUUCUUUGAGUCGCGUUGUUUGGGAAUGCAGCGCAAAGUAGGUGGUAAAUUCCAUCUAAAGCUAAAUAUUGGUGCGAGACCGAUAGCGAACAAGUACCGUGAGGGAAAGAUGAAAAGAACUUUGAAAAGAGAGUUAAAGAGUACCUGAAACUGCUGAAAGGGAACCGAAUCGUUUCCAGUGUCUAUAAUCUGUGGCAUAUUUCAUUGGCGAGUGUGUGCGUGCGUGUGCUUUGGCAGUGGCUUUUUUGGCUGCGCUGGGUGCGUGUUGUGCGUGUGUUUGCUGGUGCCCUGUGCUAUGGUGGGACGUCAAGGUCAGUUCGUGUGCUGCGGGAAAUGGCUGCUGAGGAGGUAGGGCUUACGCUUUGCGUUUGUCUAUUAUAUCUUGGUGGACGAGUCGUCGCGGUUGGGACUGAGGUGCCUACAACGUGCUUUUGAGUCUGUGGAACUCUCUGUGUGCGUGCUGUGUGGAUAGCUUGCUAUGUGCGUGGUGCUGUACGUGGAUUGAGGUCUGCUGUAACUUGUUGCCGUUCGGGACGUUGACGAAAUGGAGCGAUCCGACCCGUCUUGAAACACGGACCAAGGAGUCUAACAUGUGUGCAAGUGUUAGGGUGUGGAAACCCAAGCGCGAAAUGAAAGUGAAGGGCAGCGCAAGUUGUCUGAGGUAGGAAACGUGUGGCCUUUCGGGGCUGUGCGUGGCACUAUCGACCGAUCAUGAACCUUCGUGGUGAAAGAUUUGAGUUUGAGCACAUAUGUUGGUACCCGAAAGAUGGUGAACUAUGCCUGAGUAGGGUGAAGCCAGGGGAAACUCUGGUGGAAGCUCGUAGCGAUUCUGACGUGCAAAUCGAUCGUCAAACUUGGGUAUAGGGGCGAAAGACUAAUCGAACCAUCUAGUAGCUGGUUCCCUCCGAAAUUUCCCUCAGGAUAGCAGCAACUUUUUUACGAUAGUUUUAUGAGGUAAAGCGAAUGAUUAGAGGAUUCGGGGAAGAAACUUCCUCGACCUAUUCUCAAACUUUAAAUCUGUAAGACCUGCCGGUUUCUUAAUUGAACUGGCGGAUGUGAAUAUCAA